AACGAACGCUGGCGGCAUGCCUAACACAUGCAAGUCGAACGAGACCUUCGGGUCUAGUGGCGCACGGGUGCGUAACGCGUGGGAACCUGCCUUUAGGUUCGGAAUAACUCAGAGAAAUUUGAGCUAAUACCGGAUGAUGUCUUCGGACCAAAGAUUUAUCGCCUUUAGAUGGGCCCGCGUUGGAUUAGCUAGUUGGUGGGGUAAAGGCCUACCAAGGCGACGAUCCAUAGCUGGUCUGAGAGGAUGAUCAGCCACACUGGGACUGAGACACGGCCCAGACUCCUACGGGAGGCAGCAGUGGGGAAUAUGGGAAAAUGGGCGAAAGCCUGAUCCAGCAAGGCCGCGUGAGUGAUGAGGCCUUAGGGUUGUAAAGCUCUUUUACCCGAGAUGAUAAUGACAGUAUCGGGAGAAUAAGCUCCGGCUAACUCCGUG
rnacentral:rRNA from 1 species